rnacentral:lncRNA from 1 species
UUGUCGUUGGGCCCCGCAGGUUGCGGUGCUGGGCCACGCGGCUGUGGGAGGGUUCGUGUCGCACUGGGGUGGACUCGCCUUGGAAAGCAGCCUGUUAGCGGCGUGCCAGUGGCGGCGUGUCCCAUGUACGCGGAGCACUCAGCUGAACGCUUUCGAGAUGGUGAGGGACUUGGGGCUGGGCGGUGGAGAUCAAGAUCGACUACAGCAUAUAUUUUCAAGGACGGAGGAGAAUAUGGAGUUCUGUUGACGGCGGAAGAGAUCGAGAGUGGGAUAGGCAGUUAAUGGACGCCGAGAUGAAAUCAGGGAGAAGGUUCAGGAGAUGCUUGAAUAGAGCAGGGCGCCGUGAUUGAGGUGGCUUCAUCCUAAAUUCCCUGGGACGAUCUAUCGAAGAUGUCGUCAAAAACAACAUAAAAAUAGAAAAUAGUAAAGGUCAAUUUUUCAUCAUAUCAUGUUUUUACUAUCGCAACCAAUAUUAACUUAGGUUACCCAUUUCUCUAGUGUUGUCAUUACCGAUAGUCAUAUUCCUUCCUCUUUCCCAUAGCAUAGUGGAACCCUAUAACAUAGAUUCUGAACCACAAUAAAUUUUUCUUCAUCUUAGUAGUUUAGCCUUAAUUGAUACAACCCUAUCAUAUCAACAAUAUUCCUAUUCCUAAUUAUAUCCUCCUCAGUUUCACUACAAUAAAGCACAUCCACAGCCACAUGUUCACAAAAUUUGAUUAACUUAAUUCUCUUCUACUAUAAUGCUUCAGCAGUGUUUCUUGUGCUUUUUCAGGGGAAAGCCAACAGAGGGGAGUCACGUCCUCUUUGUUGACUCCCCGAGUCUUCAUUUGUAUUGACUCCUCCUAGUCUUCACCCUAGGCCUAGACACAUUUGUAUCACUAAUUCUAUAAUGCAGAUCUGUUGCUGGGUUUCUUAGUUUCCUUCUCUUUUUUUUUUCUAAACAAAUUGCAUUUAAAAAUUCUGGACACAACUUCUCUAAGUCGUGAUAUUUGAUUGUACAGGUAGUUCAAGUAUUUGGUCUAUGUUUUCAUGAUUAAAAUAUUUUAAAUUAGAGAUUCAUUGUGAUAAUCAGUAUAUAAAAUAAUAUUAAUCGGAUACGAAUGAUAUCCUGUUUUGUUAUUGUUCAUACUUAAAAAUAAGUGUGGCAUACAAGAUUAUGAUAUAAUGCGACCAUUGAUGUAUCCGAUCAAUAUGAUUUUUGACAGUAUUAAAGUUCUUGAUAUUCGUUCGGUAUUGUUCAUAACUUAAUAGAGCAAAACUCGACGUGUGUGAAGACGUGCAAAUUGCCGUGUCAACGAAUAGUUGGUGGCUAGCCCCAUCAGCGCAUUUUUUACAGUAUUAAAGUUCUUGACAUUCGUUAGGUAUUGCAGCCGGAUCUCAUCAGUCCAAGUGGAAUGGUUGGUGGCUAGCCAUCACAUCAUCGGUGUUUGAGCCCAAACAUGUGGUGACAAACCAAAACUUGUAAUGUCUGUUACUCUUUGAUCUGAAAUUCGGUUAGGAAACUCUGGUAGGAGAAGCUCGACAACCAAGAUAUUGCAUUAAGAACUAACCGAACUUAUUAUGAAGAUACAGUCAUGACCACGAUGCACAUUGAACUCGGCUGAAAAAGAGUCAAAUAGUUUUAUUCUCUUAGAAUGAUUUAAAUUAUCAAUUUAGCUACGAAAAACUUGUCUUAAAUUUCUUCUACAUAUAUUUGUUGUUAUAUAUCUUGCCGCAAAUUCUACUAUCCAUUCACCGUUGUAUUAUUUGUUCAAAAUGUUAUCCGUUCAUCAUUUUUUUUAACAUGAUUUACCAUAAGAUCGGGCAUAUCUUACACUCUCAAUACGUGAAAACUAGUUAUUCAUUGGGGGUCCCGCUGUAACAAACAAUGGGUAUAAGUGAUUAAAGCAUGCCUAAAAAUAAAAUGUGAUAUCCAAGACAAGCGAGUUAAAAAAAAAAAAUUUCUAUGUGGGAGGUAAAUAAAUCAUUUAUUCGGUUUAAUUGUUAGAAUUAAUUUUAAGAAUAUUUUUAUAAUAUUUGUUUGGUGAUGGUUUUUAUAAAAAAAAUUCUUGAGAAUUUUCCAAUAAAGACACAUUUCUUAGACAAUAUUAAGAUGUUGUCUUCAAAAUCUCAAAAAUUAUUUUCAGUAGAAAAAUAAAUAAUAUGUAAAAAUAUGGAAUGCUUUUGUUCUUAAAAAAUUUCUAAAAAAAUUAUUCUGCAAAACUCACUGAAAAUGAAAAAGCAUGUUAGGAAAAUAACUUCUUCAAUUUAUGUUUUCUAGAUUAAUUUUAUUCUUUAGUAAUUUUUUUAUAAAUUUCUUUUUCUUCUAUUUUUUUUUAACUUUUUUCACUUUAACAUGAACAAGAAGUAAAAAAUUUUAACUGAAAAAUAAAAUAGAAGUUUAUCAAAGACAAAUCGGAGUUAAAAAAAAAAAGCUUCAUCCGCACUGGACCUAUUUGAUGUGGGGCCUGUGAGAAUCAUAUCAAAUCACUCAAAAAGUUUAUGAAAUUGACCGAUUGGA